rnacentral:tRNA from 1 species
UCCUCGGUAGCUCAAUGGCAGAGCAUCCGACUGUUAAUCGGAGGGUUGUAGGUUCGAGUCCUACCCGAGGAG